AUCCAACUGACGAGUCCCAAAUAGAACGAAACGCGUGUCCUGGAU
rfam:Schistosoma mansoni, Puerto Rico, WGS project CABG01000000 data, contig: 0044